CCUACGAGAGGCAGCAGUGGGGAAUAUUGGGCAAUGGGCGCAAGCCUGACCCAGCAACGCCGCGUGAAGGAAGAAGGCUUUCGGGUUGUAAACUUCUUUUCUCAGGGACGAAGAAAGUGACGGUACCUGAGGAAUAAGCCACCGCUAACUACGUGCCAGCAGCCGCGGUAAUCCGUAGGUGGCAAGCGUUAGCCGGAGUUAUUGGGAGGAAGGGGCGUGUAGGCGGGAGCGCAAGUCAGAGGUGAAAACUCAGGGCUCAACCCUGGGCCUGCAUUUGAAACUGUGUUUCUUGAGUGCUGGAGAGGCAAUCGGAAUGCCGGGUGUAGCGGUGAAAUGCGUAGAUAUACGGAGGAACACCAGUGGCGAAGGCGGAUUGCUGGACAGUAACUGACGCUGAGGCGCGAAAGCGUGGGGAGCAAACAGGAUUAGAUACCCUUGUAGUC
rnacentral:rRNA from 1 species